UACGAAGGGGGGCUAGCGUUGUUCGGAAUUACUGGGCGUAAAGCGCACGUAGGCGGAUAUUUAAAGUCAGGGGUGAAAUCCCAGAGCUCAACUCUGGAACUGCCUUUGAUACUGGCAAGCUAGAGUCCGGAAGAGGUAAGUGGAACUCCUAGUGUAGAGGUGGAAUUCGUAGAUAUUAGGAAGAACACCAGUGGCGAAGGCGGCUUACUGGUCCGGAACUGACGCUGAGGUGCGAAAGCGUGGGGGAGCAAACAGG
rnacentral:rRNA from 1 species